AGAGUUUGAUUAUGGCUCAGGAUGAACGCUGGCGGCGUGCCUAAUACAUGCAAGUGAAACGGGUAUCUUCGGAUACCAGUCGCGGACGGGUGAGUAAUACAUAGGCAACCUGCCUUUAUGAGGGGGAUAACCGAGGGAAACUUUGGCUAAUACCGCAUGAAGACUCUAAGGCAUCUUAGAGGGAUAAAAGUUGGGAAACAACGCAUGAAGAUGGGCUUAUGGCGCAUUAGCUAGUUGGUGAGAUAGAAGCCCACCAAGGUAAUGAUGCGUAGCCGACCUGAGAGGGUGAACGGCCACAUUGGGACUGAGACACGGCCCAAACUCCUACGGGAGGCAGCAGUAGGGAAUUUUCGGCAAUGGGGGGAACCCUGACCGAGCAACGCCGCGUGAAGGAAGAAGGUUUUCGGAUUGUAAACUUCUGUUAUAAGGGAAGAACGGAUUGGAUAGGGAAUGAUCUGAUAGUGACGGUACCUUAUUAGAAAGCCACGGCUAACUACGUGCCAGCCGCCGC
rnacentral:rRNA from 1 species